rnacentral:rRNA from 1 species
UACGUAGGGGGCAAGCGUUGUCCGGAAUCAUUGGGCGUAAAGAGCGUGUAGGCGGCCCGAUAAGUCCGCCGUGAAAGUCCAGGGCUCAACCCCGGAAUGCCGGUGGAAACUGUCGGGCUGGAGUCCGGAAGAGGCGAGUGGAAUUCCUGGUGUAGCGGUGAAAUGCGCAGAUAUCAGGAGGAACACCAAUGGCGAAGGCAGCUCGCUGGGACGGUACUGACGCUGAGACGCGAAAGCGUGGGGAGCAAACAGG